UAAUACGUAGGGUGCUAACGUUGUUCGGAAUUAUUGGGCGUAAAGCGCGUGUAGGUUGCCAAGUAAGUUGAAUGUGAAAGCCCUCGGCUUAACCGAGGAAGUGCAUUCAAAACUGCUCGGCUAGAGGAUGGUAGAGGAAGGUGGAAUUCCUAGUGUAGAGGUGAAAUUCGUAGAUAUUAGGAGGAAUACCUGUGGCGAAGGCGGCCUUCUGGGCCAUUCCUGACACUGAGACGCGAAAGCGUGGGUAGCAAACAGGAUUAGAUACCCUGGUAGUCCACGCCGUAAACGAUGAGUACUAGGUGUUGUGGGUAUUGACCCCCGCAGUGCCGACGCUAACGCAUUAAGUACUCCGCCUGGGAAGUACGGUCGCAAGAUUA
rnacentral:rRNA from 1 species